UGUAAAUUAAUGGCAUUCAUAAUCUAAUCACGUUGGAAAUUCAUUCAAAAACCACUUAUACGUUUUUUUUCAAUAAUGCUCAUGACAGUGCAUUUAUUAUAAUAAUUUUAUAGGUCAUCGGAAACAUAAUUCUUUAUUAUUUGUAACUCCCAAAAUAGGAUGCCUUCUCAAUACUCUACAUCUAUAAAUAUGCAGCAUGUGUAAAAUUAUAAUUCACUUCUUCAUUGUCUUCCCUUAUGUAUUAUAUAAUUAUUACCAACAAUUAGAAUAUAUUGAAACUACGGAAUUCACGUUCCUAAACUAUCUACAACCUAGCAAUACUUCGUCAGCCAUUCGAGUCUGAAGCGUGCGUGUUUAUGAAUUCAUGAAACAUGGAGACAAAUCCAAUGUAAUCUACUUGGAAUGUGUUUUUCACGAACGUGUGGUAUGAGUGUCGUUUAUUAUCUUAUUACGUUUUUUUAGUUUUUUAUUUAGAACCAUUAAUUAUUUAUUUUUUCCAUGCAAGGCACUAGGAUUCAAGGUACAUUUCUUGCAAUUUAUAAAAUAAGUUUUGUGACCAAAUUAAGGAAGGUUUAAAUGUUACUAUUUACCAUUUUUUUUGUAAGAAGUGGAGGAUAUACUCUUAUUUCAGAUCAUGAAUUCAAAAUUAUUAUGUGCUCCAAAACACGGAUAUUUGAAGUCAUCGACCCCAAAUUUCCAAGAUUUAUUGUUUAUAAGACAAUUGAUCUAAUCAAGCAUAUACAAAAAAUAGAUAUAAAAAUGGUGUGAUUAUUGACCCCGACAAGGUUAUUACACAAUUUAAUUCUCGACCGUAAAGGACUGAAGAUUUUAGUUUGUAACAAAGAUAGUGAUGGCACUUUGUGAUUUUUCUAUUAAUUAAUGUUGUUUACAAAUAAGUUUUACAAAAUGUAUAAAAUAUGGAAUAUUAAAUUGUAAUUGUGUUAACUUUUGUUAAUGUUUGAUUUUAUAUA